rnacentral:rRNA from 1 species
UACGUAGGGGGCUAGCGUUGUCCGGAAUCAUUGGGCGUAAAGCGCGUGUAGGCGGCCCGGUAAGUCCGCUGUGAAAGCCCAGGGCUCAACCCUGGGAUGCCGGUGGAUACUGUCGGGCUCGAGUCCGGAAGAGGCGAGUGGAAUUCCUGGUGUAGCGGUGAAAUGCGCAGAUAUCAGGAGGAACACCAAUGGCGAAGGCAGCUCGCUGGGACGUGACUGACGCUGAGACGCGAAAGCGUGGGGAGCAAACAGG